AAGGAGGCUGUUAAAGUUAACAUUCCUGCCUGAUGCCAUCUUCCUAGAUUGAAUCUGUCAUUUUCUGCUUGCUGAACUCUUAGACUGUUCUGCUAGCCUUAACAGGCAGGAUAUUAGU